UCAUUUGCAAAAAGGAACUAUUUACUUUACAGCAUUAUUGUGAAUAGUUAACAAGGUAAUAUAUUUAACAUUGAGUUCCAUCCCCUGCCUAGCUUCCUAAAGGACUGCUUUGCCUAGCACAGACACAAGUUAAACUUGUUUCCUUUCCCUUUUCAUUGUCACAGGGCAGCCAGCACAAGAUCAAAAUGGUGGCCUAGCAAUUAAAACUGUCCUGGUUUCUUUGGCUGGAAACGGAAGCUAAUGAAGAAAGUGACCGCUGGUAGGUGCCAUUCUCCCAGAGUGCUUUGCCAGGCUUCACCCUUGCUGAUUCUUCUUGAGCGAAUGAACUGGGGACACAGGAUCGGGCAUAGAGAGUUCUAAAUUCUUCAUCAAAGGACUCAACAAGCUGUCCUGUGAUUAUCUGAACCAUGCUGAGGAAAGAAAGCCAUUAGCAAUAUGCUUUUAUAUGACCUAGAUACUUCAUGAAAUAAUAACAAACUCUCAUCAAGGAAAAGCUGUCUUUACACAUGGCGAUUCCUACUGUGUCCGAGAAGAAUGAACAGUCUGAAAAAGCCCCCAGAGAUUCUGAUACGCUGCCAUGGUGGGAUGAGGUUGGGAGUGCCUCACUCUCUUCCGAUCACUCCACCCCACUGAAAGGCAAUGAUUUAAAGAUAGAUAAAUUCUACGUUCUUGCUUUCAAGUUGCCUUGUAAUUUACAUGAGGAUACUAAGAGCUGCAAAGCCCCACCAUUAAGCUGAAGUAUGCUAUAAUAAUAAUUACAUUAAUAACUUCAUGUACAUAAUUACAUUUUGCACACAAGUACACAUUUUCACAAAAUUCUAGUCAAUUUUAAAUGUGAUACUGCAUUUUAUAAUCAUUCAUAAACUGUGUAUCAUGGAAUAAACUAUUUU